rnacentral:rRNA from 1 species
UACAGAGGUGGCAAGCGUUGUUCGGAAUUACUGGGCGUAAAGGGCGCGUAGGCGGUCUUGCAAGUCCCGUGUGAAAUCCCUCGGCUCAACCUGAGGAAUGGGCACGGGAAACUGCUUGGCUUGAGUUCGGGAGAGGGAAGCGGAAGUUCCGGGUGGUAGCGGUGAAAUGACGUAGAUAUCCGGCAGGAACACCGGGUGGCGAAGGCGGCUU